AUCCUUCUCUGCUUCAUAAGUGCACGAUGAUCAGGCUUUCAUGCUAUUGAGUGAGAUAGGUGUCCCUCAAUCUUGUGACCUCUGGGCACAUUAUCCUUCUGCUU
ensembl:snoRNA